rnacentral:rRNA from 1 species
AUUGAACGCUGGCGGCAUGCCUUACACAUGCAAGUCGAACGGUAACAGGUCUUCGGAUGCUGACGAGCGGCGAACGGGUGAGUAAUACAUCGGAACGUGCCUAGUAGUGGGGGAUAACUACUCGAAAGAGUGGCUAAUACCGCAUGAGAUCUACGGAUGAAAGCAGGGGAUCGCAAGACCUUGUGCUACUAGAGCGGCCGAUGGCAGAUUAGGUAGUUGGUGGGAUAAAAGCUUACCAAGCCGACGAUCUGUAGCUGGUCUGAGAGGACGAUCAGCCACCCUGGGACUGAGAGACGGCCCAGACUCCUACGGGAGGCAGCAGUGGGGAAUUUUGGACAAUGGGCGCAAGCCUGAUCCAGCAAUGCCGCGUGCAGGAUGAAGGCCUUCGGGUUGUAAACUGCUUUUGUACGGAACGAAAAGCCCUGGGUUAAUACCCUGGGGUCAUGACGGUACCGUAAGAAUAAGCACCGGCUAACUACGUGCCAGCCGCCGCCGUAA